CCCUUAGAUGUUCUGGGCCGCACGCGUGCUACACUGAGUGGAUCAGCGGGUCAGGUUGCGCGAAAGUGUUUCCUAAUCUUGAAAUCCGCUCGUGAUGGGGAUUGACGGUUGCAAUUUUCCGUCAUGAACGAGGAAUACCUUGUAAGCGCGGGUCAUCAUCCCGCGCUGAAUACGUCCCUGCCCUUUGUACACGCCGCCCGUCGCUCCUACCGAUUGAGUGGUCCGGUGAGGCUUUGGGAUCUGAGCAAAGAGAGCGUUUCGCUCGUUUUGCCCGGAAAACUCAGUCGAACCUUAUCAUUUAGAGGAAGGAGAAGUCGUAACA
rnacentral:rRNA from 1 species